rnacentral:rRNA from 1 species
UACGGAAGGGGCAAGCGUUGUUCGGAAUCAUUGGGCGUAAAGGGCGCGUAGGUGGUUCUGUAUGUCUAUCGUGAAAGCGUACGGCUCAACCGUAUUUUGUCGGUAGAAACUGCAGGACUUGAGGCUGGGAGGGGCUGGUGGAAUUCCCUGUGUAGCGGUGAAAUGCGUAGAGAUGGGGGAGAACACUCGUGGCGAAGGCGACUACCUGGCCUGUUCUUGACGCUGAGGCGCGAAAGCUAGGGGAGCAAACGGG